UACGUAGGGUGCGAGCGUUGUCCGGAAUUACUGGGCGUAAAGAGCUCGUAGGUGGUUUGUCGCGUUGUUCGUGAAAACUCACAGCUCAACUGUGGGCGUGCGGGCGAUACGGGCAGACUGGAGUACUGCAGGGGAGACUGGAAUUCCUGGUGUAGCGGUGAAAUGCGCAGAUAUCAGGAGGAACACCGGUGGCGAAGGCGGCUCUCUGGACGGUGACUGACGCUGAGACGCGAAAGCGUGGGGAGCAAACAGG
rnacentral:rRNA from 1 species